rnacentral:rRNA from 1 species
UUUACUGUAGCUUGACAUUGGGUCUUGGUACUACAUGUACAGGAUAGGUGGGAGGCUUUGAAACCAGGACGCCAGUUUUGGCGGAGCCAUCCUUGGGAUACCGCCCUUGUAGUACUGGGACUCUAACCAUAGGCCAUGAAUCUGGUCUUGGGACACUGUCAGGUGGGCAGUUUGACUGGGGCGGUCGCCUCCCAAAAGGUAACGG